rnacentral:rRNA from 1 species
CCUACGGGUGGCAGCAGUGAGGAAUAUUGGUCAAUGGCCGGAAGGCUGAACCAGCCAUGCCGCGUGAAGGUCAGUGCCCCAUGGGCGUUAAACUUCUUUUGUGCGGGAGCAAUAAUGGUCACGUGUGGCCAGAAGAGAGUACCGUACGAAUAAGCAUCGGCUAACUUCGUGCCAGCAGCCGGGGUAAUACGGGGGAUGCAAGUGUUUUCCGGAUUUUUUGUGUUUAAAGGGUGCGUAGGCUGGGAGGUAAGUCAGCGGUGAAAUGCCCCCGCUCAACGGGGUGAAGUGCCAUUGAUACUGCCUUGCGGGAAUGCGGAUGCCGUAGGAGGAAUGUGUGGUGUAGCGGUGAAAUGCAUAGAUAUCACACAGAACACCGAUUGCGAAGGCAGCUCACGAAUCCGCGAUUGACGCUGAUGCACGAAAGCGUGGGUAUCAAACAGGAUUAGAUACCCGGGUAGUC